UACAGAGGGUGCGAGCGUUAAUCGGAAUUAUUGGGCGUAAAGCGCACGUAGGCGGUUUGUUAAGUCGGAUGUGAAAUCCCUCGGCUCAACUGAGGAAGUGCAUCCGAAACUGGCAGGCUUGAGUACUAAAGAGGGUCGCGGAAUUCCCGGUGUAGAGGUGAAAUUCGUAGAUAUCGGGAGGAACACCGGUGGCGAAGGCGGCGACCUGGGUAGAUACUGACGCUGAGGUGCGAAAGCGUGGGGAGCAAACAGG
rnacentral:rRNA from 1 species